GUCUUUUACCGUUCAGGAGUUACGGUUCUUGAAAGAUUGUAAAAUGGCGUUUCCAUUCACGUUGUUGCAUUUACUCAUGAACUUUUCAAUCUAAGCUUUUCAAAUUUUAAUAUGUUGAUACUGAUGACAAAAUGGAGGUCAAAUUUGAUAUUGACGAUUUUCACUUUCACCAUUCAUCAGUAAUGGUUUUUGUGAUAUUGCUAGGAUACAAAUAAAUGUUAAUAAAUCCGGUUUGCUGUCGUUGUGACAGCCUCUUGUAUGAAA
rnacentral:lncRNA from 1 species